rnacentral:rRNA from 1 species
GAUGAACGCUGGCGGCGUGCCUAAUACAUGCAAGUCGAACGCAUUGUGGUUGAAAUGAUAUGAAGAACUUGUUCAGAUUUGAUUUUCAACAUUGCAAUGAGUGGCGAACGGGUGAGUAACACGUGGGAAACCUACCUCUUAGCAGGGGAUAACAUUUGGAAACAAAUGCUAAUACCGUAUAAUAAUUAAAACCGCAUGGUUUUAGUUUAAAAGAUGGUCUUGCUAUCACUAAGAGAUGGUCCCGCGGUGUAUUAGUUAGUUGGUGAGGUAAUGGCUCACCAAGACAAUGAUACAUAGCCGAGUUGAGAGACUGACCGGCCACAAUGGGACUGAGACACGGCCCAUACUCCUACGGGAGGCAGCAGUAGGAAUACUUCCACAAUAGGACGAAAGUCUGAUGGAGCGAACGCCGCGUGUGUGAUGAAAGGGUUUCGGCUCGUAAAACACUGUUGU